UCAGUCUCUCUGUAUGUGAGUGUGAGUGCGUGUGAAUGUGUGUGUGUGAAUGUGUGUGUAGCACGAGGCGGGCUGUUGUCACCCGGUGCCACUCAUCUGCAGCUCGUGCAGAUCAGACUCUGGCAGCUGUCUCUGUUCUUUUGGUUCCACCCAGAGGACGAGCAGCCUCCGGUGCGCUCUGGCUCACCUGGACGCGAGGAGCGGAGGCGAGGAGCCCGACACAGGGCUGUAGAAUGGGGUGAUGAGGACUCUCCUCUGCUGACCUCAGUGCAGAUGACUAGUGAUGGCCACAGCAUCACCUCGACAUUUGUUGGAUGACCUAAUAAACCCAGAACAACAGCAGCAGGACCAACAGGAGCAGGAGGAAUUCUUGAGCUCGGUGGAGACCGUCGUUCUCACCAUCUUCCUCUCCAUCAUCAUCAUCAUGACGGUGUUUGGGAACCUGCUGGUGAUGGUGGCGCUCUGCAAGGACAGACAUCUACGAAAGAAAAAGACCAACUACUUCAUCGUGUCGCUGGCGUUUGCUGACCUCCUGGUGGCGCUGGUUGUGAUGCCCUUCGCUGCGAUCGAGCUGACGACCGGCCAUUGGCGUUACGGAGAGAUUUUCUGCCUGGUGCGAACGUCUCUGGACGUCUUGUUGACCACGGCGUCCAUCCUGCACCUCUGCUGCAUUGCACUGGACAGGUACUACGCUAUCUGCUGCCAGCCGCUGGUCUACAGACACAAGAUGACGCCUCUGAGGGUGGCCGUCAUGCUCGGCGGCUGCUGGCUCAUCCCCACGUUCAUCUCCUUCCUUCCCAUCAUGCAAAGCUGGAACGCCAUCGGCAUCGAGGACAUUAUCGAGGAGAGGCGAGCUCUGACCGGAGGCUCCAACGACACCAGCUGUGUGUUCCUGGUCAACCGGCCGUACGCCCUCAUCUGUUCUGCCGUGGCCUUCUACGUCCCGUUGGCCCUCAUGGUCCUGGCCUACCAGCGGAUCUACGUCACCGCUAUGACCCACGUACGGCAGAUAGAGACGCUCCAGCGGGCCGGUUCUGCUCCGGUCUGCAGCACCGAGCCCAUCAUCACCGUGAGGUCGUCCACGUCCUCAGACCCUCUGGACCACUACCGCCUCAGGACAACAACGGGGUCCUCCUCCUCAGAGCAGGCCCCCGUAUCGAACAGCCGCAUGCGCAUCGAGACGAAGGCGGCAAAGACGCUGGCGGUUAUUAUGGGCUGUUUCUGCCUGUGCUGGGCGCCGUUCUUCAUCACCAAUGUGGUGGAUCCCUUCAUCCACUACUCGGUGCCGUGGCAGCUGUGGACCGCCUGGCUGUGGCUCGGAUACAUUAACUCAGGGCUGAACCCGUUCCUCUACGCCUUUCUGAACCGAGCUUUCCGGAGGGCGUUUCUGGUGAUCCUGUGCUGUGGGGAUGAGCGGUACUCUCGGCAGGGGAGCUGCUCCUAUGGAAACGCUCACAGAGCAUGCUCAGCAGCGUCGGUCAACGGGACGUCCAUGGCACUGAGGUAAACACACAGCAAAGGCACAGUCACAUUAGCACAACUUUCUGUCGUCUUUCGUUGGUACAGCGGAGCCAAAGACAAUUUUGAUCGUGUCAUUUAUUUUUGGACUGAUGACAAAUGUCACUUUACCUCCACUUUGGUGUGAAGGACCAUGACUGCUUGUGUGAAUAAAGGGGUUGUAAAUACAAAAUGAGUGUAAAUGUGUUGGUUGUCCUGCUGUCCUGUCCGUUAAAAGUCUUUCAAAGAGACAUCCAGGCCUCAGGCAGGCUAAUUUGUCACAUCCUGCAGAGGCAGACAGAGCUACAUCACCUUCCUAACUGAUGGCCUGUAGGCUGCUGGAACGUCAGCUUUCUUUGCAUGUCUGCCUUUGAUGUACAUCUGCUGUAAAUCUGUGAAGGGAUGGCAGCUCUAAUUUGUCCAUUUGUUGAUCUUCUCAACAUCGAUUCACAAAAUGUGAUUUGUUGCAGCAGUUAAAAACCUGCUGCUGCUGCUGCUUGGUUCUCAUGAAUGGAACAAGGAACUGCAUUCACUGUUUUUAUUGGCUGCAUAGAUUAGGUUUCUAGAGGUUAGAGUCAGUGGUCAAAGCAGCUGUUGAACAUUUUAAAGGCUGCCUUUGACUGUAAAAUGAAUUGAAUGGACAGAUUACUUCUCUGGUCUCAGGGUUUAAUGUGUUCUUGUGUUGAGGCUCGAUCAUGAGUCUGAUCAUGAGCUGUGUCAUAUGAUUCAUUUGAUGUCUCUUUGAACCUUUUUAACUUAAAGGCAAUCACCAUAAUAAGGCACUUAUACAGCAGGAAUUGAGGAGGUGGAGAUAAACAAACGCAGACGACCACAUGUAGAUCUGCCUCAGUUUAUCGUUUCCACAUUACAACUUCCAGAUCAGAAUGUCUACAAAGGAACACAACAUUUGGUCAUGAUCAAAACAACAACAGUCGGACAAAAAACAAGACAAAAUGUUACAAAAAUGAGACACAAAAUGGCAACAACCAGAACAAAAUGACAAACGAGACAAACGACAAGAAACAAAACAGAAAAGAGACAAAAAAUUUGGCAAAAAAGUUACAAAGCGCCAGAAAAAUGGACAAACGGCAAAAACGAGACAAAAAAUUACACAAGCGAGACCAGAAAAACGCAAAGCGAUACACAAAAUGAGAAAAAUAAGACAAAAAACACAAGUGAGUGAAAAAGGAAACAAAACGACAAAAACGAGAAACAAGACGACAAUAAAAUGAGACAGAAACAAUCAGACAAAAAACAACAAAAACAUGACAAAAUAUUACAAAAAUGAGACACAAAAGAACAAUGAACAAUCUAGCAUUUUACUUUAUGAUCCAAACAACUUGUCAUGGUCUAGAAAUGAUUUUAAAUUUAUACUUUUACUAAUUUACAAUCUGCAGUUAAUGUCUUCUCUGUAGUUUUUACACUUUGAGGGCCGGAUUGGACCCUCUGGAGGACCACUUUUGGACCACGGGCCUCAUGUUGGACACCCCUGGUCUAUAGAGUAGUGCUUGUGAUUGUCUUUCCUGCCAAACCGGAGCUACAGCGACAACGGCAGGAUGAUACUGGGCCACGAGCACGAGUCCCAGGACUCUCUUUGACCACGAAGAGGAGGACUUUUCAAUAACAGAACUGCAGCAUCGUCAUAAGAUGUGGCAGAGUUGGACCACCGUGACCUGACGGGACUGACCUGGAUACUCACUCUACGAACCAGCAUCUUUAUUUUUUCACUCCUUUGGACUCUAAAUGAGCAAGAUGAAGCAUCUUGGUGCAGAACUGAAGAAAUGGAAUACUUGUAUGAACAUGCCAGCCAUAUGUUUCCAGAUCUAGCACCCAAAGAACUAUUCCUUCGACAUCUCGAUCACAACAUGGAGACAUCAAGAAACUACAACCUGCUACGAGCUGCAAGACGCCUUCUGCUUGUUCACCUCUUAGAUGACAUUCUGUUACAGUUUAACUUAAAGAGACGUUUCAUUUGACUGAAGUUUCAUAUUUUCUACAGCGAUGUGUUUACUUAUCAAACACAUCAAAGAUUAUUCAGUUUUGCAAUAGUUGUGAACAAAACACCAAAGACUGAGGAUGUGGAUCUAAAUUAAUUGAAGUUCUGUCCUGUUAAAAAGGCAAUGAAACAUGUUUUCAUGGCACAUAAAACAUUGUUGGACUCCAAAUCUGGUCACAGCCAACAGUAAAGUUUGAAGAGCAGCUGUGGAAACUUCAACUGUCGGUGUUAAAUCUGUUUUCUGGACUUCAUCAUUAUCAUCCUGCCAAACGCAACAGUCAUGUAUGUAGUAAUAAACUUUUUGUAAAUUAAAAAGGUGCGAAGAUUUUGUAAAGUUCCAAAGCUCUGAAAGCACCUGCAUAUACGAGCUCUGGACAGACACAUCGUCAUAUACGUGUAUCUGAACGAGUAAAAGCUUCAGGAGUAUGAGAAAAUCAA